rnacentral:rRNA from 1 species
AUUGAACGCUGGCGGCAGGCCUUACACAUGCAAGUCGAGCGAGCGGCGGACGGGUGAGUAAUGUCUGGGAAAAUGCCUGAAGGAGGGGGAUAUCUACUGGAAACGGUAGCUAAUACCGCAUACCAUCAGAUGUGCCCAGAUGGGAUUAGAUAGUAGGUGGGGUAACGGCUUACCUAGGCGAAGAUCCCUAGCUGGUCUGAGAGGAUGACCAGCCACACGGGAACUGAGACACGGUCCAGACUCCUACGGGAGGCAGCAGUGGGGAAUAUUGCACAAUGGGCGCAAGCCUGAUGCAGCCAUGCCGCGUGUGUGAGGAAGGCCUGCGGGUUGUAAAGCACUUUCAGCGGGGAAGCGUUACCCGCAGAAGAAGCACCGGCUAACUCCGUGCCAGCAGCCGCGGGAAUAC